rnacentral:rRNA from 1 species
ACGGCAGCACGGGGGCGACCCCGGUGGCGAGUGGCGAACGGGUGAGUAACGCAUCGGAACGUACCCAGUAGCGGGGGAUAACCAGUCGAAAGACUGGCUAAUACCGCAUACGACCUACGGGUGAAAGCGGGGGACCGCGAGGCCUCGCGCUAUUGGAGCGGCCGAUGUCCGAUUAGCUAGUUGGCGGGGUAAGAGCCCACCAAGGCGAUGAUCGGUAGCUGGUCUGAGAGGACGACCAGCCACACUGGGACUGAGACACGGCCCAGACUCCUACGGGAGGCAGCAGUGGGGAAUUUUGGACAAUGGGCGCAAGCCUGAUCCAGCCAUGCCGCGUGCGGGAAGAAGGCCCUCGGGUUGUAAACCGCUUUUGGCCGGAACGAAACGGCGACUUCUAAUACGGGUCGCUAAUGACGGUACCGGCAGAAUAAGCACCGGCUAACUACGUGCCAGCAGCCGCGGUAAUACGUAGGGUGCGAGCGUUAAUCGGAAUUACUGGGCGUAAAGCGUACGCAGGCGGCUAGGUAAGACAGAUGUGAAAUCCCCGGGCCUAACCUGGGAACUGCAUUUGUGACUGCCUGGCUCGAGUCCGUCAGANGGGGGGUGGAAUUCCACGUGUAGCAGUGAAAUGCGUAGAGAUGUGGAGGAAUACCGAUGGCGAAGGCAGCCCCCUGGGAUAACACUGACGCUCAUGCACGAAAGCGUGGGGAGCAAACAGGAUUANAUACCCUNNANUCCACGCCCUAAACGAUGUCUACUAAUUGUCGGGUCUUUAUUGACUUNGNAACGCAGCUAACGCGUGAAGUANACCGCCUGGGGAGUACGGUCGCANAUUAAAACUCAAAGGAAUUGACGGGGACCCGCACA